rnacentral:rRNA from 1 species
AUUGAACGCUGGCGGCAUGCUUUACACAUGCAAGUCGAACGGCAGCGGGGUAGUGCUUGCACUACUGCCGGCGAGUGGCGAACGGGUGAGUAAUAUAUCGGAACGUACCGAGUAAUGGGGGAUAACCAAUCGAAAGAUUGGCUAAUACCGCAUACGUCCUACGGGAGAAAGCGGGGGAUCGCAAAACCUCGCGUUAUUCGAGCGGCCGAUAACUGAUUAGCUAGUUGGUGGGGUAAAGGCCUACCAAGGCGACGAUCAGUAGCGGGUCUGAGAGGACGAUCCGCCACACUGGGACUGAGACACGGCCCAGACUCCUACGGGAGGCAGCAGUGGGGAAUUUUGGACAAUGGGGGCAACCCUGAUCCAGCCAUGCCGCGUGUAUGAAGAAGGCCUUCGGGUUGUAAAGUACUUUUGUUAGGGAAGAAAAGGGAAGUGCUAAUACCACUUUUUGCUGACGGUACCUAAAGAAUAAGCACCGGCUAACUACGUGCCAGCAGCCGCGGUAAUACGUAGGGUGCGAGCGUUAAUCGGAAUUACUGGGCGUAAAGCGAGCGCAGACGGUUAUUUAAGCAGGAUGUGAAAUCCCCGGGCUUAACCUGGGAACUGCGUUCUGAACUGGAUAGCUAGAGUGUGUCAGAGGGGGGUAGAAUUCCACGUGUAGCAGUGAAAUGCGUAGAGAUGUGGAGGAAUACCGAUGGCGAAGGCAGCCCCCUGGGAUAACACUGACGUUCAUGCUCGAAAGCGUGGGUAGCAAACAGG